rnacentral:misc_RNA from 1 species
UCGCGGCUUAUCACCGGCAGUCUCCCUAGAGUUCCCGGCAUUACCCGCUGGCAACUAAGGACAGGGGUUGCGCUCGUUGCGCCACUUAAGGCAACAUCUCACGACACGAGCUGACGACAGCCAUGCAGCACCUGUGUUACGGCUCCCUUUCGGGCACACCCAGCUCUCGCUGGGCUUCCGUACAUGUCAAGGGUAGGUAAGGUUAUUCGCGUUGCAUCGAAUUAAUCCACAUCAUCCACCGCUUGUGCGGGUCCCCGUCAAUUCCUUUGAGUUUUAAUCUUGCGACCGUACUCCCCAGGCGGGGUACUUCCUGCGUUAGCGCCGGCACCCAGAGGGUCGCUCCCCCAGGCACCUAGUACCCAUCGUUUACGGCGUGGACUAC